rnacentral:tRNA from 1 species
UUUAAGGGAGUUUAUAACUGAUUUGCAAUUAGUUUUUAUGUUUAAACAAUGUUUAAAC